UACGGGGGGAGCAAGCGUUGUUCGGAUUUACUGGGCGUAAAGGGCGCGUAGGCGGCCACCGCAAGUCGACUGUGAAAUCUCCGGGCUUAACCCGGAAAGGUCAGCCGAUACUGCGGGGCUAGAGUGCAGAAGGGGCAACUGGAAUUCUCGGUGUAGCGGUGAAAUGCGUAGAUAUCGAGAGGAACACCUGCGGCGAAGGCGGGUUGCUGGGCUGACACUGACGCUGAGGUGCGAAAGCGUGGGGAGCAAACAGG
rnacentral:rRNA from 1 species